GCUCAACUUCAUAGUCUCAAAUUUCAGGAUGUCUGAAAGCCAAACCUACUAAAUCAUUAAACAGAAAAGUAUCCUCAACUAAAUCAGCCUCUUCAUUUGAGGCAUUAUUAAUAGUUCGAACUAAGAAAAGCAAGGGAAUCCACGAAAAUCCAGAAUAUAGCUAGAAUAUCCUUCACAACUCCGCAUAUAUAACUAGCUGUAACAGUAUUUCAUCUUUAGUGAGACAACAAUGAGUCAUUAUGAAAGAAAACAGUUUGAUGUAUAUUGACAUACACUGCAAAGUUGACCAUUGGGGUACUUCGACAUUGCUGGUUCAAGCCCAGAUUGCAAGUCUCACGCCUACUUUCACAUUCAGUUGUGUCCAUGAUGUUUGCUAAAAGAGUGGCGCGCCAAGAGCUUCCUACCUGGUGCACGAUGAUCAUCCUUGUACAGAGAUGCAGCUGAUUCAGAUUCAACAGUUUGGACUGGAAUAUGUCCAAGUGACUGGAAAGAAUCCAAAGCAUCUAAUGUUAGCUGCCAACCACAGAGAGCAAUAGCACCAGAGUUGGAAGAGGAACUGCCACUAUUACUGCAGCCAGCAGCAGCAACAUUUCCAUUAACCCAAGGACAGAAAAAAUUAUGAUGCUUAAUUGGAUCAAAUUCAACAGCUUCUUCGUAGUUGCUUUCUCCAAUAGGAGGCCCUGGAUAACAUUUGUUUUCAUCAUUUCAGCAAGCUAUGAAUAACCAAAUCAGUAAAACCUGAAUAAAAGAAGAAAAAAAAAUACUUGAAAGUAUAAAAGCAAUGAUGCCUAAAAUGAAAAAAGGUGAAGUCCCAAUCAAGGAAUAUCAAGAAAGGUAAACGAUGCCUAAUUCCAUGGUAAGUUCCACCAGAGUUGUGCUGAAUCCAAUCACAGUAAGCAUCAGUAUGAAACAUUACAAGCCGUGAACCUGAAUAUGAGUUUAACUAUUCCAAGCUGAAUGAAGUCUAUUUUGUGAUGUUAUUAUCUAAUGAGAGAUGAGAUACUUACCAGAAUAUAGAAACUUCCCAAUGUAGCUGCAUUUUUAAAUCAAUACAAAGUGCUUUUGCACAUACAUUCAAACAGGUCUCUGAGAGAAAGAAGGGAGGUAGUAACAUACAGUAGAAACUGAUACCCUGAAACUCAAGCAUGAAGGUUACCUGUUCCAUUUGCUAGCAUAUAGUCUGACUCAACGAAUCCACAAUCAUCAGUAGCUGGUGCAUUAUUUUGGGUAACUUCUUCUUUGGAUGCUUCAUGGGCGGAACAUACAACAGCAUUGCAAGAAAGAGAAGGGUGUGGACUAUUUGGGAGCAUAGGUUGCACGUGACAAUUCUUUUCACCACUUUCAAUGGAUUCUGCUUUGGCAGAGCCAACAACUUUUGAGCCACUAUCAGCCCUUCCCACUGAACGAGACGUCAGAUCUUGACUAUCACCAUUAGGAUCUCCACGGUCCACCUCUUCAGGGACAUAGUCACCCAUAAGUCCUGGAUCUGGAGCAAAUUCACCUGUUUGCCCCUGAUUUUCAGUAAUUUCAGCAACCGCUUCUACCUCACCAGCAACGCUAUCUGCUCUAUGCACUGAAGCAUCUGUCCCAUGGAUUUCAGCUUCAUGACUAGCACCCAUUCCAAUACUUCCUCCACUGAUUCCAAAGCUAGGGCCAUCCCUCACAUUGGCAGUGGCAGUAUCAGCAUUCACGACUUCUUCAUCAUUUGUGCUACUAACACCCAUUUCACCAGCACUCCUGACCACAGCCGGACAAGUACUUUGUUGUGCUUGGUUACUGUAGUUCAAUUCUGAAGUUUCCACUGGGUCUGCACUUCUUAACAUAGAUGUAGAAGGGAAAUGAACAUCAUCAAAGUCUCCGGGAAGAUUCUCAACACUUUCCAUUGAAUCAUCUGUACCGUGAACCGUGUCCAUUGCAAUAACAGAUGAAACAUGUGUUGAGUCUCGAGUAGAGGGCACACCAGUUAGCUGUUCGUGUCUUCGGCCAAAGGUAUCAUCUCUGGGAGCACUUGUACCAAUCUCAAAACCAAGUGACAGGCUAGGACCAGCACCUGAUGAAUCCUUGCCAUAUGAAGUAUGGUGGGUCCCGAAGGCAUCAGACUGACAUGGGCGCUUUGAUGGGCCAGCUGAGUACUGACUACCAUCAUUUACUUCAUCUCCGUCACGGUCUAUCACAGUGCCUUCAACACUAUCAGCCGGUUGUAGAGGCAAUUGUGGCCUGUCAACCGUGCUUCCACCUUCCUCUAAGUUUCGUUUGCGGGAACUAGGGCCUCGAGAUUCAUAUGAAGCUGCUUGACCACCAACUUCACUGCUUGAAGGCUGCCCAGUAACUGGAUAUCUUCGUUUAUGUCCAUCUUCGAAUUGUUCAGGCUUUGCAUCCAUGUUCACCUGUGAAGAGGAUAAUCCACCAGCCAUUGUGAGAUUCAGAUCUACUCCUAUAUUUGACAAAGACCUUCCCACAUCAUUUGUUGCAGCCUCAUCAAGGUCCUCUGUCUGUUCCUUUUCAACACCAUCAGCAGCAACCCACCCACUGAUUCCACUAGCAGCACUUGCUCCACGUGUCAAUGCCAUUUUCU
rnacentral:misc_RNA from 1 species